rnacentral:rRNA from 1 species
UUUAUAGCUUGCUAUAAAGAAUAGUUAGUGGCAGACGGGUGAGUAAUGCAUAGGAAUCUACCUAGUAGUAUGGGAUAGCCACUAGAAAUGGUGGGUAAUUCUGUAUAAUCCCUGCGGGGGAAAGAUUUAUCGCUAUUAGAUGAGCCUAUGUUAGAUUAGCUAGUUGGUAGGGUAAAGGCCUACCAAGGCGAUGAUCUAUAGCUGGUCUGAGAGGAUGAUCAGCCACACUGGAACUGAGAUACGGUCCAGACUCCUACGGGAGGCAGCAGUGGGGAAUAUUGGACAAUGGGCGCAAGCCUGAUCCAGCUAUGCCGCAUGAGUGAGGAAGGCCUUAGGGUUGUAAAACUCUUUCAGUAGGGAAGAUAAUGACGGUACCUACAGAAGAAGUCCCGGCAAACUCCGUGCCAGCAGCCGCGGUAAUACGGAGGGGGCAAGCGUUG